rnacentral:rRNA from 1 species
AUUUGAAAUCUAGCACCUUCGGUGUUCGAGUUGUAAUUUGAAGAUGGUAACCUUGGGUUUGGCUCUUGUCUAUGUUCCUUGGAACAGGACGUCAUAGAGGGUGAGAAUCCCGUCUGAUGAGAUGCCCAUUCCUAUGUAAGGUGCUAUCGAAGAGUCGAGUUGUUUGGGAAUGCAGCUCUAAGUGGGUGGUAAAUUCCAUCUAAAGCUAAAUAUUGGCGAGAGACCGAUAGCGAACAAGUACAGUGAUGGAAAGAUGAAAAGAACUUUGAAAAGAGAGUGAAAAAGUACGUGAAAUUGUUGAAAGGGAAGGGCAUUAGAUCAGACUUGGUGUUUUACGAUUAUCUUCUCUUCUUGAGUUGUGCACUCGUAUUUCACUGGGCCAGCAUCGAUUCGGAUGGCAAGAUAAUGGCAGUUGAAUGUGGCUUCACUUCGGUGGAGUGUUAUAGCUUCUGCUGAUAUUGCCUGUCUGGAUCGAGGGCUGCGUCUUUUGACUAGGAUGCUGGCGUAAUGAUCUAAUGCCGCCCGUCUUGAAACACGG